GCUCUUCCGAUCUGCCUUGCCUGUGGCUGGACAGGAAGUCGCGGGUGGAAUCCCGCCUGCCUGGAGUGCAUCCUGGGCUUGAUGUGGUGGCAGGAAUUGAGGGGGAAAAAUACGUUGGGACCAGAUAACAGAAGAAUUUGGAUGUCAGAAAGGAGAGUGUGGAGUAUAUCGGGAAGACCACGUUGAGCCACUUGUGCCUUAGGAAGCGCAGGGGGGCACCAUGAGGAGGAGGAUGCACUGAAUGACGGAGGGGGCGGGUAGAGCAGGGCCUCUGCCAUGGUCUCCCCAGCAGGUGCUGCCUGGGGACCCGCCACAGGGGCAGAGAAAGGAUUUAAAUUUGAAGUCUGCAGCGGAAACAGAAGCACACUGACCUGCAUUGGUUGAUAGAAGGGAAAGAGAGAGUCUGGAGGAUUCUGACAUUUUAAUUCCAAGUUCCUAGAACAAUCAUGGUCAUUAAUAAUCAAGAAUAAAGGAGGUGGAGUCGGGCAGUGUGCAGCUGAGAGAAGUGUUUACUUUUUCUUUUUCAGUUGAAGUGUAGUCUGUUACAAUGUGUC